rnacentral:rRNA from 1 species
CGCGUAGGCGGAUGUUUAAGUGUCUUGUGAAAUCCCACGGCUCAACCGUGGAACUGCUGGGCAUACUGGACAUCUCGAGGCACUCAGGGGCGAGCGGAACAAGUGGUGGAGCGGUGAAAUGCGUAGAUAUCACUUGGAACGCCAAUGGUGAAGACAGCUCGCUGGGGGUGUCCUGACGCUGAGGCGCGAAAGCCAGGGGAGCGAACGGGAUUAGAUACCCCGGUAGUCCUGGCCCUAAACGAUGUCCACUAGAUCAUGGCGGCUCUGACGCCGUCAUGGUCGGAGCAAAAGUGUUAAGUGGACCGCCUGGGAAGUACGGUCGCAAGGCUAAA